GCGGCCUCGGUGAUGACCUCAGUGAGUCUCAAACCAGCUCCCUUCACCGUCGAGAAAUCGGCGAGAGGUCUUCCAUCUCUGGCGAGAAACUCCGUCCCCUUCAAGGUCGAGGCCAGUGGCGGGAAGAAGAUCAAGACCGACAAACCCUAUGGAAUCAAUGGUUCGAUGAAUUUGAGGGAUGGAGUUGAUGCAUCGGGAAGAAGGGGCAAGGGAAAGGGAGUGUACCAAUUUGUCGACAAGUACGGGGCCAAUGUCGAUGGCUACAGUCCCAUCUACGACACCAAAGACUGGUCUCCAAGUGGUGACGUCUAUGUUGGUGGUACUACUGGAUUGGCCAUUUGGGCAGCGACCUUGGCUGGCCUUCUUGCUGGAGGUGCUCUUCUUGUGUACAACACUAGUGCUUUGGUGCAGUAAGCUGGAGGAAAGUUGAACUGG
rnacentral:misc_RNA from 1 species